CAGGGGUAACGUAGACUCUACGUCUCCCUCGUCUCUCGCCGUCACGACAACGUCACACACGGGCGUCACGUGCUAUCCGCGCGUGACUCUGCCAGCACGUUACGACAUAAUAUUCCUUGACAGCGACUCCUCGCCGACCGGCGCGGAAAAUCGUGGCAAAAAAAUUCUCCAACGUAUCUUUCGUCCAACUUUUCGUCGAAAAUAAGUUACCAAGUUCAAUAGCGUCAAGAUCCUUCAGGAUUAAUGCGCGUAUAGAACGAUGUUCUUCGCCUGCGUAAGUCCGACGUAAUAAUCGUGACCUACUCCACAGUGUUAAAUAUUGGACACGCUUUCCUCGAACACCGAUAUAGCUAUCGGGGGCGAUGCGAGAUAGUCGAGAGUGUCCUCGGUGAUUUGACCGGUGAAUCGUUGGGAAGUUGGUGAUUACCGGGUACGGAGAGAACCGCACGCGUACGUAGUCGAUAAUCGUGCGGAAAUGAACGUGCCGGGAUCAAAUUUCGGGGUAAAUCGGUAGCGGAAUGUUCACCCAGACGCGAUCGCGGAAUCACGGAUCUCGCUCUCGGGGACCCCUCCUCGGGAUACAGGGGCACGAGCAACCGACUACGGGGAUUAUUCAUCGGAAAGUUUGAUGCUUAUACGUGCGAACUGAAACUUGUCUCGCACUCAUCCUCGUCGUCGUCGUCGUUGUCGUUCGAUUAUCAUCGCCGACGACGGCGGUUAUCUUAGGAUAGCGAGAUUUCGUCGAGAAUGCUUUAUGGUCGAAACCGGUGUACUUCGUCACUCUCUCUCUUUCUCUCUCCCUCCCUUCUUUCCCGCCGUCGCGAAACUUUCCUGGACUUUUCCGUGAGCGUGAGAGUUUGCACGGGAACUGGAGAAAUCAUUAGAGCGUUAUCAUCGCCGGUCGAUGUCGGCCAAACUUCGUCCGGCUGUCGAUAAUUUAUAGGAAUCGUCCGAUCGUAGUUUCGUAUCUCGUGUUCAGUCGCGCCUUUAAUAACUACAUCACACGUAAUGAUUGAUCGUUCCCAGUUUCCGAGCGUGUUCUCGUAUGUAACAUAACAGGAGUUAUAGUGACCUGCAGAAAUGAACAUUCCUUCGAUUAUCGCUCUGUUAUCGGGCCGUUCAACGUAUUACUGGACAGAUUGGGCUUGUCCUGGCGCGGACUCAGGUGCAUUUUGUCCCGGCGCGAUCGAAAUUUCUCGUCGGAUGUGACUCGAGGUGUCGCGAAUUAAUCCCGCGUAGAGUUAAACUCGCGCUUUUCACGCGGUCCAGCAGUGCGUUUCCCGUGACUCUUGACUUCGUGCACGAGCGAGUGUGGGCACAUGCAAUACGAGGGUGGCCCUCAUCUGUUGACGCGUUCGCGAGGGUGAAUCGGCGCGGAGCGUGUUUCGGACAAUACAGAUUAUUCCGGGCACGAGGACCGGAUGCUGCGAACGGUCGACGUGGAUUUACACACCACACUCAGCUGGAGGGAGGAUUCUGACCGUUGACUUUUGGUUUUUGGAUCGGAUUGCGGCGUAUUAAAACUGUUCCUACACAAUUCCUAAGAUCGGAGCCUGCCUUUCAACGUGCAAAGCCGUCCUCUCGGUGCGUCGACGGGGCGGCGGAGGUCGGCCGUCUCCCAACUUUCUUAUUCAAGAUGUUUUGAGAGCAAUUUAACUUGGACUCCGGUCGAAGGGGUGCCGGAGCCGGUGGGUGCAGAGAGUUAAAAGCGGGAAUAAAACGCGCGGAAGGAGAGUGACUGCGCUGAUGCGGGAAUACGGAGGAGCGGCCUGCGGGACGUGGUCGCGCCGGGCGAAUUAGAGAGACCUCCCGGAAA